GAACACGCUGAAGGAUUCAGGAGUGAAGCUGCUGAGAGCUCUUGAGAAGAAUCCAAACUAUCGACUGGAGACUCUGAGAUGCAGGAGAUGAUCACUGACAGAAUGUGAGCCAUCAGGACGCUGGUGGUGCAGAGAGGAGCAGCUGUGUCCUGAUGAUCCACAGAGGAUGAAGCAGCAGCUCCACUGUCACCGUCUCCACAGAAUUAACCCUGAGUGUUCCUCUGACGUGACAGAGUAUCAUCAGAGUUCAUGGACUGCUCUGCUGCUGCUCCGUCCUGCUACACUCUCUGCAGACACACUGACACUCUUCUACACUCUACCACCUCCUCCACCUGGAAUCUGCUUUCAUUUGCUCUUUUCUUUUUCUUUUCUUCACAAUAUCUGGACACAAACCAGUCACCACCAAAUUCUAUUAAUCAGAAUUAUACAUUUAAAGACUUUAGUAAAUAUAUUGAUUUAU